rnacentral:rRNA from 1 species
AGUGAACGCUGGCGGUAGGCCUAACACAUGCAAUUCGAACGGCAGCACAGUAAGAGCUUGCUCUUACGGGUGGCGCGUGGCGGACGGGUGAGGAAUACAUCGGAAUCUACUUUUUCGUGGGGGAUAACGUAGGGAAACUUACGCUAAUACCGCAUACGACCUACGGGUGAAAGCAGGGGAUCUUCGGACCUUGCGCGAUUGAAUGAGCCGAUGUCGGAUUAGCUAGUUGGCGGGGUAAAGGCCCACCAAGGCGACGAUCCGUAGCUGGUCUGAGAGGAUGAUCAGCCACACUGGAACUGAGACACGGUCCAGAGUCCUACGGGAGGCAGCAGUGGGGAAUAUUGGACAAUGGGCGCAAGCCUGAUCCAGCCAUACCGCGUGGGUGAAGAAGGCCUUCGGGUUGUAAAGCCCUUUUGUUGGGAAAGAAAAGCAGCAGGUUAAUACCCCGCUGUUCUGACGGUACCCAAAGAAUAAGCACCGGCUAACUUCGUG